CUAUCCAUAAUUGUAUUAUUUUUUCUGUAUCUAUUACACAAUCUAAGUCUAAAAAGUUAUAAUUUUUAUUAACUAUUUGUUUUGGUGUCCAUUUGUCAUAUUCAUCUUUUAGAUUAUAUCUUUUAAAUUUAUUCUUAUAAUAUGUAGGUUUUCUUAUUUCUGAUGUUCUAGGUAUUAUAUUUUCAUCUUCUUUUUUAUCAAGAGUAUUUAUU
rnacentral:lncRNA from 1 species